rnacentral:rRNA from 1 species
UACGAGGGGGGCAAGCGUUGUUCGGAAUUACUGGGCGUAAAGGGCUCGUAGGUGGCCAACUAAGUCAGACGUGAAAUCCCCAGGCUCAACUUGGGAACUGCGUCUGAUACUGGAUGGCUUGAAUUCGGGAGAGGGAUGCAGAAUUCCAGGUGUAGCGGUGAAAUGCGUAGAUAUCUGGAGGAAUACCGGUGGCGAAGGCGGCAUCCUGGACCGAGAUUGACACUGAUGAGCGAAAGCUAGGGGAGCAAACGGG